rnacentral:rRNA from 1 species
GGACUACCGGGGUAUCUAAUCCUGUUUGCUCCCCAUGCUUUCGAGUCUCAGCGUCAGUUGUCAGCCAGAUAGGCGCCUUCGCCACUGGUGUUCCACCCGAUCUCUACGAAUUUCACCUCUACACCGGGUAUUCCCCUAUCCUCUCCGACACUCAAGCUCGCUAGUUUCCUCUGCACGUUACAGGCUAAGCCCGUAGAUUUCACAGAAGACUUAACAAGCCGCCUACACUCCCUUUACGCCCAAUAAUUCCGAACAACGCUUGCACCCUCUGUAUUACCGCGGCUGCUGGCAC